UCAAGCUACAAAGGGCGCAUGGUGAAUGCCUUGGCAUCAGGAGCCGAUGAAGGACGUGAUAAGCUGCGAUAAGCUUCGGGUAGGCGCACAUAGCCUGAGAUCCGAAGAUUUCCGAAUGAGGAAACUUACAUGGGAAACCCCAUGUAUCAUUAAGUGAAUACAUAGCUUAAUGAAGGUAACCCAGGGAACUGAAACAUCUAAGUACCUGGAGGAAGAGAAAGAAAAAUCGAUUUUCUUAGUAGCGGCGAGCGAAAGGGAAAGAGCCCAAACCGGAAACUUGUUUCCGGGGUUGUGGACAUAACAUAAAAGUGGAGGCUAUUGUAACUGAAGAGAACUGGAAAGUUCCACCGUAGAAGGUAAUAGUCCUGUAAGUGAAACGAGAAGACCACGAGUUAUGAUCCAGAGUACCACGAGACACGUGAAACCUUGUGGGAAGCAGGGAGGACCACCUCCCAAGGCUAAAUACUACCUGAUGACCGAUAGUGAAGCAGUACCGUGAGGGAAAGGUGAAAAGAACCCCGGGAGGGGAGUGAAAUAGAACCUGAAACCGUGUGCCUACAACCGCUCAGAGCCCCUUAUGAGGGUGAUGAGGUGCUUUUUGUAGAACGAGCCAACGAGUUACGGUAUGUAGCAAGGUUAAGUACUUAAGGUACGGAGCCGAAGGGAAACCGAGUCUGAAUAGGGCGACUAGUUGCAUGCCGUAGACCCGAAACCGGGUGACCUAUCCAUGGCCAGGUUGAAGCGAGGGUAAAACCUCGUGGAGGACCGAACCACGUUGCUGUUGAAAAAGCAUGGGAUGAGCUGUGGAUAGCGGAGAAAUUCCAAUCGAACCCGGAGAUAGCUGGUUCUCUCCGAAAUAGCUUUAGGGCUAGCGUCGAGUAUGAGUAGUGGAGGUAGAGCACUGAAUGGGCUAGGGGGCAUAGCGCUUACCGAACCUUAUCAAACUCCGAAUGCCACAUACUUUGAGCUCGGCAGUCAGACUACGAAUGAUAAGAUCCGUGGUCAAAAGGGAAACAGCCCAGAUCGUCAGCUAAGGUCCCAAAGUGUAAGUUAAGUGGGAAAGGAUGUGAGAUUUCUAAGACAACUAGGAUGUUGGCUUAGAAGCAGCCAUUCAUUAAAAGAGUGCGUAAUAGCUCACUAGUCGAGAGAUCUUGCGCCGAAAAUGUAACGGGGCUAAACUUACCACCGAAGCUACGGGCUUGAACUUAGUUCAAGCGGUAGGAGAGCGUCGUAACCGGGCUGAAGUCGUACCGUAAGGAGCGGUGGACUGGUUACGAGUGAGAAUGUUGGCAUCAGUAGCGAGAUGUGGGUGAGAAUCCCACAGGCCGAAAACCUAAGGUUUCCUCAGGAAGGUUCGUCCGCUGAGGGUUAGUCGGGACCUAAGCCGAGGCCGAAAGGCGUAGGUGAUGGACAACUGGUUGAUAUUCCAGUACCACUACCAUCGUUAUUAUCGAUGGCGUGACGCAGGAGGAUAGUGUGUGCUAGCUAUUGGAUGCUAGUCUAAGCGUUUAGGCAGUGAGAGUAGGCAAAUCCGCUCUCAUAAUGCUGAGGCGUGAUGGGGAAGGUUCUACGGAACCGAAGUACAUGAUUCCACGCUGCCAAGAAAAGCGUCUAGAGAGAGAAGUAGUGCCCGUACCGCAAACCGACACAGGUAGGUGAGGAGAGAAUCCUAAGGCCGGCGGAAGAAUUACAGUUAAGGAACUCGGCAAAUUGACCCCGUAAGUUCGCGAGAAGGGGUGCCUACGAGAGUAGGCCGCAGAGAAUAGGCCCAAGCAACUGUUUAGCAAAAACACAGGUCUCUGCUAAAGCGUAAGCUGAUGUAUAGGGGCUGACGCCUGCCCGGUGCUGGAAGGUUAAGGGGAACACUUAGCGCAAGCGAAGGUGUGAACUUAAGCCCCAGUAAACGGCGGCCGUAACUAUAACGGUCCUAAGGUAGCGAAAUUCCUUGUCAGGUAAGUUCUGACCCGCACGAAUGGCGUAAUGACUUGGGCACUGUCUCAACUGUAAAUCCGGCGAAGUUGUAGUGCGAGUGAAGAUGCUCGCUACCCGCGAUUGGACGGAAAGACCCCGUAGAGCUUUACUGUAGCUUAGCAUUGAGUUUUGGUAUUGUCUGUACAGGAUAGGUGGGAGACUAGGAAACCAGGGCGUCAGCCUUGGUGGAGUCAACCUUGGGAUACCACCCUGACAGUACUGAAAUUCUAACUGGCGGCCAUGAAUCUGGUCACAGGACAUUGUUAGGUGGGCAGUUUGACUGGGGCGGUCGCCUCCUAAAAAGUAACGGAGGCGCCCAAAGGUUCCCUCAGAACGGUCGGAAAUCGUUCGAAGAGUGCAAAGGCAGAAGGGAGCCUGACUGCGACACCCACAAGUGGAGCAGGGACGAAAGUCGGGCUUAGUGAUCCGGUGGUACCUCGUGGGAGGGCCAUCGCUCAACGGAUAAAAGCUACCUCGGGGAUAACAGGCUGAUCUCCCCCAAGAGUCCACAUCGACGGGGAGGUUUGGCACCUCGAUGUCGGCUCGUCGCAUCCUGGGGCUGAAGUAGGUCCCAAGGGUUGGGCUGUUCGCCCAUUAAAGCGGCACGCGAGCUGGGUUCAGAACGUCGUGAGACAGUUCGGUCCCUAUCCGUCGCGGGCGUAGGAAAUUUGAGAGGAGCUGUCCUUAGUACGAGAGGACCGGGAUGGACUGACCUCUGGUGUACCAGUUGUUCCGCCAGGAGCACAGCUGGGUAGCUAAGUCGGGAAUGGAUAAACGCUGAAAGCAUCUAAGCGUGAAGCCAACCUCAAGAUGAGAUUUCCCAUAGCGUAAGCUAGUAAGAUCCCUUGAAGAACACAAGGUUGAUAGGUCGGGGGUGUAAGCAUGGUAACAUGUUCAGCUGACCGAUACUAAUAGAUCGAGGGCUUGACCAA
rnacentral:rRNA from 1 species